CAAGAGCGAAAGUUAAGGGUUYGAAGACGAUCAGAUWCCGUCGUAGUCUUWACUAUAAAUGAUACMGACCAGGGAUAGGACACUGUCCAUCUCGACUUCUCCUGGACCUUUGAGAAAUCAUAGUCUUUGGGUUCCGGGGGGAGUAUGGUCGCAAGGCUGAAACUUAAAGGAAUUGACGGAAGGGCACACAAAGAGUGGAACCUGCGGCUUAAUUUGACUCAACACGGGAAAACUCACCAGGUCCAGAUACACGUAUGAAAGUCAAGCUGAAAGACUUUACUCAAUAAUGUAAGUGGUGGUGCAUGGUCGUUCUUAGUUCGUGGAUUGAUUUGUCUGGUCUAUUCCGAUAACGAGCGAGACCCCAACGUUCCUAAUAGAAGUUACAGCCCAGCCAGCCGCAAGGCUGGCUAGCCGUACCCUUAAAAUUCACUUCUUAGACGUAUCAGAGCCGAUAAGGUUCUUGAAAUGGGUUAAUAACAGGUCAGUCAUGCCCUUAGAUGUUCUGGGCCGCACGCGCGUUACAAUGGCAUGUAUAAAAAGUGCCUACAAGGGCAUACCCAGGGCCGAAAGGUCUUGGUAACCCUUAGUCCCUGCCUUGACUGGGACAGAUUUUUGUAAUUAUUGGUCUCCAACGAGGAAUUUUUAGUAGUCGUGGGUCAUUAACCCGUGACGAAUGCGUCCCUGCCCUUUGUACACACCGCC
rnacentral:rRNA from 1 species